GGGCCCGCACAAGCGGUGGAGCAUGUGGUUUAAUUCGAUGAUACGCGAGGAACCUUACCAGGGCUUAAAUGCAGAACGACAGAGGUGGAAACACCUCCUUCUUCGGACGGUCUGCAAGGUGCUGCAUGGUUGUCGUCAGCUCGUGCUGUGAAGUGUCGGGUUAAGUCCCAUAACGAGCGCAACCCCUAUUUCUAGUUGCCAGCGGUUCGGCCGGGGACUCUAGAGAAACUGCCAGCGUAAGCUGUGAGGAAGGUGGGGAUGACGUCAAAUCAUCACGGCCCUUACGUCCUGGGCCACACACGUGCUACAAUGGUGAGGACAGACGGCCGCAAACCCGCGAGGGGGAGCCAAUCCGACAAACCUAGUCGUAGUCCGGAUCGGAGUCUGCAACUCGACUCCGUG
rnacentral:rRNA from 1 species